rnacentral:lncRNA from 1 species
CUCCCUUUUCCUCCAGUGCUGAUCCAGCAGGUAGAGCAGGACACGGAGGGAAGGUGAGCCCCGAGCUGGGCGACAGCUUUGGAGAAAGGUCUGGAGAAGGUUCUGGAACAGGGUCUGGAGAAAGUUCCAGAGUGGGUUCUCAGGCAGGUUCCAGAGGUUCUGGGUCGGUUCUAGAUCGGGUUCCGGAUCGGUUCUAGAUCGGGUUCCGGAUCGGUUCUAGAUCACGUUCUAGAUCGGUUCUAGAUCACGUUCUAGAGCGGUUCUAGAUCGGUUCUAGAUCACGUUCUAGAUCAUGUUCUAGAGCAGGUUCCAGAUCGGUUCUAGAGCGGUUCCAGAUCGGUUCUAGAGCAGGUUCUCGAGGUUCCGGAGCAGGUUCUCGAGAAGGUUCUUGCUUUGGAGAAGGUUCUGGGGAAGGUUCCGACUCUGGAGAAGGUUCUGGAGAAGGUUCCAGAACAGGGUCUGGAGUGGGUUCUGGAGAAGGUUCUUGCUUUGGAGAAGGUUCUGGAGAAGGUUCAGACUCUGGAGAAGGUUCUGGGGAAGGUUUUGACUCUGGAGAAGGUUCUGGAGAAGGUUCCGACUCGAGAAGGUUCUGGGGAAGGUUUUGACUCUGGAGAAGGUUGUGGAUCCAGUGUGGAUUUAUUGCAGACCCAGUGUGGAUCUAAUGUGGAUCUGGUGUGGAUUUAUUGUGGAUUCAUUCCGGAUCCGGUGUGGAUUCAGUGUGGAUCGGGUGUGGAUUCAUUCCGGAUCCAGCUCCCCACAUCCCCUUGGCUGAGCUCGGAUCCGGAUCCGGGAAUGAGAAGGGAUUUGUGUCCCGGGAGCGCCGGGGCCGGGCUGGG